UCGCCGCCUCCAUCUAUCUCCCCUAAAUCUGAACCAGAAAAAUGACGCCGUCUUCUUCAUCUCUCUAAACCCCAAUCGAAAACGAUGUCGCUCUCCCAAUGUCAACAGCUGCUGUCGACAUUCCCUUUUCCUCUCUCAAAUCCCUAAAAAUGAUUCUCUAGAACCUUUUAUCCCUUUUCAUGUUGAAGAAAGCGUCAUAUAAUAUAAACAAAGGUUGGUGGACCUCCAUUCUUGUGAAGUGAAGACAAAGGACUGUGGAAACAAAGCUGGUGGUUGGGGAAAAAAUAAUUUUGGCGGACAUUCAUCAAAGCUUGCACCAUAUCUGAGAUAUGGAUGAAUAUUUGACCAUUCGAUUGUGGCAUGGUGGCAUCAUACAAAUUGAUUUUGAAACUCCUUAUGUUGGUGGGCUGCCUAUUUUCUUUGAUAAUUGUGACCCUGACAAGAUGUCAUUAAUUGAGAUAAAGGGUUUGGGUAAGGAAUGUUGGUACAUAGAUGGUGUAAAAAUUGCUCUUCAAGUCCCAAACAUAGCAGGACCUGGUUCCAUAAGGUUGAUGAAUAAUGAUAUAGAUGUGUUAGAGAUGGCUGAAUAUGGCAGAAAAAAUUAUUUUGUAAACAUUUAUGUGGAGGCGAUUGAUGAUAGUAAUCAGGGAGAAAAUGAUGUAGUAGGUAAUUUGCAAGAAGGUCAUAAUCAGAAUUUGUAGGAAGUUAAUGCUGAAGGGAGUGAUUUUCAUAGGGUGAAUGUGAGGGAAGGAAAGGACAUUGAUUUGCAUAGUGUCAAUGUGGGAAAAGGAGAUGACACUUCCUCUAAGGAUUUUGAUUAUGUGCCUGCUGAAGAAAGCUUAUCAAGUUCUGAAGAAGAAAUUUCCACUGAAGAUGAAGAAUAUCAUUUGGCAAGGAGGAAUAGAAAGAAUGAAAGAAUUACAAACAUGGUUUUCUGCAGGAAAAAGAUGUUGGUGAGAAUAUAGUUCCAAGAAACAAUGUGACUGUUGAUCAAGUGCGAUCUUCUGUGAAUGAAGGAAAUAGUGGCUAUAUAAGUGUUUAUGACGAGACAGGUGAAGAUGUGAUUACACCUCAUAGUAGUGAUAGUGAGGUUGAAAGGAAUAGGUUAAUAAAGUGAAGGAGGAAGAUUAUUUAUGACCCUCAAUGUGAUUAUUCUAAGCUGAAGUUUACACAGGUCUUGAACAAUUUAAAUCUGCUGUCCAAGAGUUUGCAAUUGCAAAUGGGUUCAAUGUGAGAUGGUCUAGAAGUUGUUUUGAGAGGGCAGAUACUAGGUGUGUGCAAGGUUGCCCUUGGAGUGUAUAUGUUGUUGAGCUACAAAGGGAGAAGAAUUUUGUUGUCAAAACUCACAAUGAUGUACACAAAUGUUUCAGGAGCCUAACAAAUAGACAAGCAACUGCAAAAUGGAUUGCAACUAAGUUUCUCCCCAGAUUUAGAAAGAAACAUGAAUGGGAAGCAAUACAAGAUGAGUUGAAAGAGAGGUAUGGUCUUACAGUUAAUUUGAUGAUGUGCUAUCAUUCCAAAAAGAAAGCUCAAGAAAUGGUCAGGGGGUCUAUUGAGGAACAUUAUGCAAUGUUAAGAUCAUAUGAUGCUGAAUUGCAUCAAGCUGAUACAAAUAGGAGGUUUGAGUUUUAUUUUGAACAAGGUUCAGUUGGUGUUUUUAAAAGGUAUUAUGUUGGAUUCUCAUGCCUUGUGAAAUCAUUUAAAAGAAGAUGUAGGCCCAUUAUUGAGCUUGAUGGAUGCUUUUUGAAGACAAGAUUAGGUGGGAUUUUAUUGAGUGCAAUAGGUAGAGACCCAAAUAAUCAAAUGUACCCAAUAGCUUGGGCUGUGGUGGAGAUUGAAUCUCAAGUAACUUAGACUUAAGUCCUUUGAAGUUCUGUUUGAAGAAUUGGGCUUAGGUGAUGGGCUUGGUUGGACUUUUGUAAGUGACCAACAAAAGGGUCUUAUCAAUGCCAUUCAAGAACUAGCUCCUUUUCUAAACAUAGGAACUGCGCAAGGCAUAUUUAUGCAAAUUGGAAGAAGACUUACAAGGGUGAAGCUUUCAAGAAAUUGUUUUGGCGAGCUGGAAGAGCAAUAUAUGUUGCAGAAUUUAGGAGUGUAAUGAAGGAACUCAAGGAAUUAAGUGUCACUGCACAUGAUGCAUUAAUGAAGCAGAAUCUUGAGAAAUUUUGUAAAUGCUACAUUAAUGCACUACCUAACUGUGAUAUGAUCGAGAAUAACUUAUCUGAGACAUUCAAUGGGUACAUUAUCAAUGCAAGACGUUUACCUAUUAUAGACAUGUUAGAGGGAAUUAGGAGUGUCUUAAUGGAAAGGAUGUAUUUAAAGAGGAAUUUGACGCCAAAUUCUAGUGAUGAAAUCCCACCAAGAGUAAGAACAAAACUGGAAAAGGUGAAGCUGGAACCUAGGUACUGCACCCCUAAGCCAACAGUUGGAGAGACAUUUCAAGUGGCUAUGGGCCAGGAUGCUUUUGUAGUAGACUUAAAUGGAAAAACAUGUUCAUGCGGGUUUUGGGAUUUAAUUGGGAUCCCCUGCUGCCAUGCCCUUUAAUGUAUCAAUUACAUGAAAUAUGAUGAACUUCAACUCAUUGAUGGUUACUUGAAGAAGGAUACAUAUUUGAAGUGUUAUGAAGAUGGUUUGAAGCCAUUAAAUGGGAGAAAAAUGUGGCCUGAGGUGAUGUUAGAUCCAAUCAAGCCACCAAAAUAUGAGAAAAAAGCUGGUAGACCUUAGAAGGAAAGGGCAAAGGCUGCAGAUGAAACCCCAAAGGCCAAUGGCAAGUUGCCUCGUACUUGUUCCCAAAUGACAUGCCAAUUUUGCAUGCAAUAUGGCCAUAAUAAGAGGAGUUGCAAGAUGCCAAAUACAGCUGCAACAACAACCUCACAGUCACAACAGGUCAAAAAAAGAGGUAGACCCCCAAAAGUACCUGUCCCUGUUGCUACAAUUGAAUCUCAACUGCCAGAAAAAAGAGGCAGACCUCCUAAAGCACCAAAUCUACAAUAGCAGCCUUCUAUCUCCAUAGCAGAUGUUGUGCCUAAUGCAAACAGAGUAAAAACCACAGCAGCAAUUGCAGCAAAAGAUAGGGCAACUGCUUCAAAAAGGUAUGGAUGCUGUGUUUCAACUGAGACUGGCAGAUUGUAUUUUCAGGAACCUAUUACCAAUGCAGCCAAAUUUGUUAGUGGAAGUAGAGUUGAUGCAAGAAGAAUUUGUCAGAGCAAAGGGAAGGAACCUGCAAUAAUUUCUCAGAAAAAGGGGAAAGAACCUGCAACAACUUCUCAAAGAAAGGGGAAGGAACCUGCAACAGUUUGUCCGAGGAAGGGGAAGGAACAAGCUGCUAUAAGAGCAACUCAAGCUAGGAAACUAGGAGGCCUUGUUAUUGGCAGCCAAGAAUUAGCUAUUACUGAGUAGUACUUUAGGAAUGUAUGUUUGCAGCUUAGGCAUUUUUUGUAAGGUUUGAUGUUAUUUUUGGAUUCUCAUAUCAAGCCUUAAUGUAAGACCAAGAUCAUGUGUGACCUUACAAUUUGUUUAAUUUUGAUGCCAAGUGUGUUACAAACAGAUUUGAUUUUCACUCACAUUUACACUUAAUGAGAAGCUCAGUUGAUUGUUUACAUA